UACGUAGGGGGCUAGCGUUGUCCGGAAUCAUUGGGCGUAAAGCGCGUGUAGGCGGUUCGGUAAGUCCGCUGUGAAAGUCGGGGGCUCAACCCUCGGAAGCCGGUGGAUACUGUCGGGCUAGAGUACGGAAGAGGCGAGUGGAAUUCCUGGUGUAGCGGUGAAAUGGCGCAGAUAUCAGGAGGAACACCGAUUGCGAAGGCAGCUCGCUGGGACGUCACUGAGCUGAGACGCGAAAGCGUGGGGAGCAAACAGG
rnacentral:rRNA from 1 species